rnacentral:lncRNA from 1 species
GCUUCAAAUGUCAAUUGACUCCUCUCACUCAUAGUUGUACAAAUUACAGGGCUUUUUUUUAAUUGUCAUAAAACAUAUACAUUAUUCAUCUAUUCAGUUUCAUCUGAAGAGAAUCCAACAAAGAAGAAAUUUUAUUUUCCAAUAAAAUAUUAAAGCUGCUUUACCCCACAAGAGACAGAGCAGAAAUUCCAUCCAUGAUCUAUAAAUCUAUGCGAAAACAAUACACAGUUCUGGCCAAAAGAAGUUAAAACAAAUGUGAAAAAUAAGCGACAUCCAGAAACUUCAGCAGCUCCCUUCUGUCCUAUGCCUCAAGGUACCAGAGAGGGAAAAAGACCCCCAGGAGAGGCUGUGAGGAAACCUGAACUGCAAACCCACCACGAUGUCUUCCUGGGAAAGGCAAGUUGGUAAAGAAAGAUGUGAACUCUAUUUCAGGGUAGUAUGUUUUUUUCAUUUGCUUCCAAGACUUUGAUGGAAUGACUUGAGAGGAAAAGUUCACAAUUACUAGAAAGAACCUAAAAGGACAUGAGAGAUGAAACCGUUGCAGUAUUUUUGAAAUAAAUGUUUUCCUGCAAGAGCAGAGUCA